CAAGUGACCCCGGUCUAACCACCGGGAUGUUCAUAACCCUUUGUUGUCCGACUCUGUUGCCUCCGGGGCGACCCUGCCUUCGGGCGGGGGCUCCGGGUGGACACUUCAAACUCUAGCGUAACUUUGCAGUCUGAGUAAACUUAAUUAAUAAAUUA
rnacentral:misc_RNA from 1 species